GAGAGAAUGAAUGGCACCAUUCAGAGAGGCCUCUGUAAGGUUGUUGGUGACCAUCCAGAAUUGUGGGUUGAGUAUCUGGAUGCUGUGAUGUUUGGACCUUGGAACUAAAAAGCAAAUGACCACCAAAUACUCACCAUAUUACCUGAUAUUUGGCAGAGAGGCUCAUUAUCCAGCCGAAAUCCCAGAAGAGUACAUGCCAUUGACAUGUCGAAGAGGUUAACACGUGAGGAGUGGA